rnacentral:ncRNA from 16 species
UCGUAGCCCAGUGGAUAGCGCACUGGUCAUGUGGACCAGAGUCGCGGGUUCGAAUCCCGUCGG